UACGGGGGGGGCAAGCGUUGUUCGGAAUUACUGGGCGUAAAGGGCUUGUAGGUGGCCAACUAAGUCAGACGUGAAAUCCCUCAGCUUAACUGGGGAACUGCUUCUGAUACUGGAUGGCUUGAGUUUGGGAGAGGGAUGCGGAAUUCCAGGUGUAGCGGUGAAAUGCGUAGAUAUCUGGAGGAACACCGGUGGCGAAGGCGGCAUCCUGGACCAACACUGACACUGAAAAGUGAAAGCCAGGGGAGCAAACGGG
rnacentral:rRNA from 1 species